rnacentral:rRNA from 1 species
ACGCUGGCGGCAGGCUUACACAUGCAAGUCGAGCGGAGUGAUGGUGCUUGCACUAUCACUUAGCGGCGGACGGGUGAGUAAUGCUUAGGAAUCUGCCUAUUAGUGGGGGACAACAUCUCGAAAGGGAUGCUAAUACCGCAUACGUCCUACGGGAGAAAGCAGGGGAUCACUUGUGACCUUGCGCUAAUAGAUGAGCCUAAGUCGGAUUAGCUAGUUGGUGGGGUAAAGGCCUACCAAGGCGACGAUCUGUAGCGGGUCUGAGAGGAUGAUCCGCCACACUGGGACUGAGACACGGCCCAGACUCCUACGGGAGGCAGCAGUGGGGAAUAUUGGACAAUGGGGGGAACCCUGAUCCAGCCAUGCCGCGUGUGUGAAGAAGGCCUUAUGGUUGUAAAGCACUUUAAGCGAGGAGGAGGCUCUUUUGGUUAAUACCCAAGAUGAGUGGACGUUACUCGCAGAAUAAGCACCGGCUAACUCUGUGCCAGCAGCCGCGGUAAUACAGAGGGUGCAAGCGUUAAUCGGAUUUACUGGGCGUAAAGCGCGCGUAGGCGGCCAAUUAAGUCAAAUGUGAAAUCCCCGAGCUUAACUUGGGAAUUGCAUUCGAUACUGGUUGGCUAGAGUGUGGGAGAGGAUGGUAGAAUUCCAGGUGUAGCGGUGAAAUGCGUAGAGAUCUGGAGGAAUACCGAUGGCGAAGGCAGCCAUCUGGCCUAACACUGACGCUGAGGUGCGAAAGCAUGGGGAGCAAACAGGAUUAGAUACCCUGGUAGUCCAUGCCGUAAACGAUGUCUACUAGCCGUUGGGGCCUUUGAGGCUUUAGUGGCGCAGCUAACGCGAUAAGUAGACCGCCUGGGGGAGUACGGUCGCAAGACUAAAACUCAAAUGAAUUGACGGGGGCCCGCACAAGCGGUGGAGCAUGUGGUUUAAUUCGAUGCAACGCGGAGACCCUUACCUGGCCUUGACAUAGUAGAAACUUUCCAGGAGAUGGAUUGGUGCC